AACGAACGCUGGCGGCAGGCUUAACACAUGCAAGUCGAGCGCCCCGCAAGGGGAGCGGCAGACGGGUGUGUAACGCGUGGGAAUCUACCCAUCUCUACGGAAUAACGCAUGGAAACGUGUGCUAAUACCGUAUACGUCCUUCGGGAGAAAGAUUUAUCGGAGAUGGAUGAGCCCGCGUUGGAUUAGCUAGUUGGUGGGGUAAAGGCCUACCAAGGCGACGAUCCAUAGCUGGUCUGAGAGGAUGAUCAGCCACACUGGGACUGAGACACGGCCCAGACUCCUACGGGAGGCAGCAGUGGGGAAUAUUGGACAAUGGGCGCAAGCCUGAUCCAGCCAUGCCGCGUGAGUGAUGAAGGCCCUAGGGUUGUAAAGCUCUUUCACCGGUGAAGAUAAUGACGGUAGCCGGAGAAGAAGCCCCGGCUAACUUCUGCCAGCCGCCGCAGUAAGAC
rnacentral:rRNA from 1 species